AUUGAACGCUGGCGGCAUGCUUUACGCAUGCAAGUCGAACGGUAACAGGUUAAGCUGACGAGUGGCGAACGGGUGAGUAAUGCAUCGGAACGUGCCCGGUCGUGGGGGAUAACACUUCGAAAGAAGUGCUAAUACCGCAUACGAUCUGAGGACGAAAGCGGGGGACCGUAAGGCCUCGCGCGAUCGGAGCGGCCGAUGUCAGAUUAGGUAGUUGGUGGGGUAAAGGCCUACCAAGCCGACGAUCUGUAGCUGGUCUGAGAGGACGACCAGCCACACUGGGACUGAGACACGGCCCAGACUCCUACGGGAGGCAGCAGUGGGGAAUUUUGGACAAUGGGCGCAAGCCUGAUCCAGCAAUGCCGCGUGCAGGAAGAGGGCCUUCGGGUUGUAAACUGCUUUUGUACGGAGCGAAAAGGCUCUCUCUAAUACAGGGGGCUGAUGACGGUACCGUAAGAAGAAGCCCCGGCUAACUUCGUGCCAGCCGCCGCCGUAAAAC
rnacentral:rRNA from 1 species